GGGGGUGAUCGGUUUCGACUUGGGUCGGUAGUCCCAGGAGAAGCGGGCCGAGAAUCCAAGGUCAACUCGUUAAUGUCCCUUGGAAACCAACAAGUGCCAACUCUAAGCGCACUGACUUCGCUCUCGCUGUCUAAACAGUGAUCGAAGGGUCAGACCGAGGCCGUCCUCGCCCCGGAACCUGGCCUCAUCUAGAGGACUUGCUGGCCGCACCGUGUCUCAGGGUGCGUCCGGGACUUUUCUGAGACUGGGUCUGUCUGCGACGUGCUGGCGCGAGCGCAGGGACCGAGAAGACGACUAGCCAGCUGCGCCCGGAGAAGACCUGGUUCGCUGUCCAAGGACGCGGGUUCGAUUCCCGCCACCUCCACCC
rfam:Friedmanniella sagamiharensis strain DSM 21743 genome assembly, chromosome: I